rnacentral:rRNA from 1 species
GACGAACGCUGGCGGCGUGCUUAACACAUGCAAGUCACGGGGGCCCGCAAGGGUAACCGGCGAACGGGUGCGUAACACGUGAACAACCUGCCCUCGUGUGGGGGAUAGCCAUGCUAACGCGUGGGUAAUACCGCAUACGUUCUCCGAAGGGAUUCCUUUGGAGAGGAAAGCUCCGGCGCACGGGGAGGGGUUCGCGGCCUAUCAGCUAGUUGGCGGGGUAAUGGCCCACCAAGGCGACGACGGGUGGCCGGUCUGAGAGGACGAUCAGCCACACUGGGACUGAGACACGGCCCAGACUCCUACGGGAGGCAGCAGUGGGGAAUCUUGCGCAAUGGGCGAAAGCCUGACGCAGCGACGCCGCGUGGGGGAAGAAGGCUCUCGGGUUGUAAAACCCCUUUCAGGAAGGACGAAGCUACUCGGGUUAAUAGCCCAGA